CGUAGGGUCCGAGCGUUGUCCGGAAUUAUUGGGCGUAAAGGGCUCGUAGGCGGUCUGUUGCGUCGGGAGUGAAAACUUACAGCUUAACUGUGAGCGUGCUUCCGAUACGGGCAGACUUGAGGUAUUCAGGGGAGAACGGAAUUCCUGGUGUAGCGGUGAAAUGCGCAGAUAUCAGGAGGAACACCGGUGGCGAAGGCGGUUCUCUGGGAAUAUCCUGACGCUGAGGAGCGAAAGUGUGGGGAGCGAACAGGAUUAGAUACCCUGGUAGUCCACACCGUAAACGUUGGGCGCUAGGUGUGGGAUCCAUUCCACGGGUUCCGUGCCGCAGCUAACGCAUUAAGCGCCCCGCCUGGGGAGUACGGCCGCAAGGCUA
rnacentral:rRNA from 1 species